rnacentral:rRNA from 1 species
GACGAACGCUGGCGGCGUGCUUAACACAUGCAAGUCGAGCGAUGAAGCUCCUUCGGGAGUGGAUUAGCGGCGGACGGGUGAGUAACACGUGGGCAACCUGCCUUAUAGAGUGGAAUAGCCAUCCGAAAGGAUGAUUAAUACCUCAUAAUAUUGUAGCUUCGCAUGGAGCAACAAUCAAAGGAGCAAUCCACUAUAAGAUGGGCCCGCGGCGCAUUAGCUAGUUGGUGAGGUAACGGCUCACCAAGGCGACGAUGCGUAGCCGACCUGAGAGGGCGAUCGGGCACAUAGGGGCUAGGACACGGCCCAGACUCCUACGGGAGGCAGCAGGGGGGAAUAUUGCACAAUGGGGGAAACCCUGAUGCAGCACCGCCGCGUGAGUGAUGACGGCCUUCGGGUUGUAAAGCUCUGUCUUCAGGGACGAUAAUGACGGUACCUGAGGAAGAAGCCACGGCUAACUACGUGCCAGCCGCCGCCGUAAGAC